rnacentral:rRNA from 1 species
GUAAACAGUACGUGAAACCGCAUAGAGGUAAACGGGUGGCGUCAAGCUGCAAGCCCGGAGGAUUCAGUCAGUCAGGAUUUUGUGUGUGCCUGUGGCACCUAUCAGUCGGAGUGAGAUAGAGUAGUCUGCCAGGUAAUGGCAGGCCCAGUCGCAAGACUGGGAUUUGUGUACCGGGCUGUGACCGGAGCAAGCUAUUCGUCUAGAGGACUGCCUGGCUGAUGCACUUCCUCUGUACGGUGAACACCACGACCGGUGGUACUGCCAGUCUGCCAUGGCCAAGUCGUGUUGGGUCGGCAUCUGAUGUCGGCUUAGCAUUGAUGACAUGCAAAUUCAGUGGACGGUGUGAGAGUGUUUACGCAUUCUUGCACGUUAUCGGACACUGGUUGUGAACGGGUGUGCCUGUCGAUUGCUGUAAUCGUCGAUGGUGACCUGGUGGGCUGUGGUGGUAUGAAUAACUGUGCAGGGCACUGGAGUUAUCGGUCUCUAGACUGACUUGCAUACGCUAUACAGGCGGUUUCGGAGGCAUUGUUGCAGCCUGCCGGUGUUUGGGUUUGAUUGUCGUGUCACCUGCUUAAGUGGGUCCGGCAGUAGCCUGAGCUCGGUUGGAGUUGUUGACAGUGUUUCCUGUGUGAGUU